AAGGACGAGUUACUACUUUUUAGUUAAAGAAUAUUUUAUAUAGAGAAAAGUGAGAGGAAUAGCAGCAGUAUAUAUACGGCUUGGAAGAAAAACGAUAUCAGAGUGUCGGAUUGCAAUGACUCCGACAUUGAUUUCCUCAACAUACAUUGGCUAGAGAUACAAUAAGCAGCAAAGCUUGCCUGGGGAAUUUAACUAUAAAAUUACGUAAAUCAUAGUAGCUGACAUUAUCAAGCGGAGUAACAAAUGACGAAUGGCGGAGUGUUGUUAUUCAAGGGAAGCGAAGAUGAGAGGACGAUUUAGCAUUUAAGAUUAUUCGGUUAAAGAAGAAGAAGUGUGGAUUUCCAUGACAGAGGAGAAGAAUACUCAGAGUGAAAAAAAAAUGUCAAAAAAACCGAGAAAUUUUGAGAGAAACUAACCAAGGAAUGAAAUCCAAGAGGCAACC